GUCAAUUAGAAGGUAGAGCCAUUGUAACCAAUGUUAGGUGAACUUUGUUAGGUGAAAAAUGGAGCCCAAAGAGUUGUGUCUUAGUUAUCUCUGAACCAAUUUAUCUGACUCAUUGUGAAGAGAAAUUUCCAUCAGUAACACAAACACACUCAGAUACAGAGUUUGACGUCUACCCCCUCGCACCUGCUGCUGCACUGAUUAGAGCAAAUGAUUAUGAUUCAAUCAGUGGAGUGGAACUUGACUCACAUAAUUAUCAGAAUUUAGAAAUACUCUUGUAUGUGUGUUUUCUCACACAACAACUCCAUUUACCCGGAGGCCUUGAAGAUUACUCCAGUAUUACAAUGUGUGGAAUUUUUCUAGGCGUGGUGCGCAACCUCUCGUCCUUCAUUAGACUCACCUGCUUCUCAUCUACUGACCUCAUCGGCAGCGUAUAUAAACCCCGUUUCUUCAGCGGCCCUGCCCUAAAUGGUGCACUUCAUGUGCACUUGUGUCUUCAUUGAAGCCCGUACUGCUGCAGGCUCAGGGCAGAUCACUACCCAAAAGUCCUUGUGACAGACCGAUCAGAAAGCAUAGGAGGAGUUUCGUUGACACAGGAAGCGGAGGAGUAGUUUCGAUUGCAGGUUUUAGCCAAUGACAGAUGCAUGAUAGAGAAGAGGAUUUUUAAGUGUCCACUGCUCUGGCUUCCUGCUGUUCACUCCCGGCUCACUUCCUGCUAUGACCAGCCCAGCCUCGUCUUCCCUGUGGCACUCCUGCUCUGCACUCAGCACUCACGUGUUCCACGUGGUGCAUUGGUUGUGCACUCGACUCGAAUCCUGACCCCAACUACACAUUAUCACAUUCCUUUCACACUCCAGCUCCCUUCAAUAGAUCCUGUUUACCUUCAGUCCUUGUGUGUUUUCUGUAUUUGGGUCCCCUGAUCUCUGUGUUCAUCAUAACAGAACAAUCUGGCCAACAUGGACCCAGCAGACCCAGCCCUGUCCCAUCAGGGCACCCACCUGGAUCAGCAUGAAUUAAAGCUCUGUGAACUCACUGAGAGCCACCAGGCCAUGCUGGACCAGCUCGGGCUCCUCACCCAGCAACUUAACAGCAUCCUGGCCUAACCGGUCCAGUCUGCCUCCUUUCCCUGUCCACCAUGGAGCGAAGCCCACGUCCCAGAUCCCGACCCCUAUGCAGGUGACCUAGGGAGAUGUAGAUCCUUAAUCCUUCAAUGUUCCCUCAUGUUUGUUCAGCAUCCUUACACCUAUGGCAAUGAUGAAGCCAGGGCAGCCUAUAUCAUGGGGCUUCUUAUGGGAGAUGCCCUAACCUGGGCCACCUGGGAUAUGCUGCCACCUCUGUGGUCCGCUCUCUUUUCCUUCACCACAGAACUUAGUAAGGUUUUCAACAACCUCAUCCAAGAGAAGGAGGCCGCCAAGCGCCUGCUUUCCCUGUGCCAGGGGCCUUGCAGUGUGGUCGAGUAUUCUGUGAAGAUCUGUGUCUUGACUGCCUAGUCUGGGUGGAAUGAGGAGGCGCUCCAGGGAGUUUUCCUGAAUGGACUCAGUGAGCAGGUGAAGGAUGAGCUUGUCAUGAAAGAUGAGUCAGAUUUCUAUUGAUUCUAUUGAAGAUUUCAGAUUUCUAUUGCCAUCCGGUUGGGUAACCACAUGCAGGAGUGGCACAGAGAGAGAGAGCCAGCCAGUCUCAAGCCGCUUCUCUUCCUCUCCAUUUGCCCACCAAUCCAGCCUCUGAGUCUCAGCCCAGUCAUUGAGUCCCUUCCAGUUCCCCCUCGUCUGCAGAAGAACCCAUGCAAGUAGGCUGGGCCUGGCUAACCCCGGCUGAGCAUGACUGCUGGUUCCAGGUUGGUGAAUGCAUCUACUGUGGCCCAUCAGGCCACUUCAUUGCCACCUGUCCUCUUAGUCCAAAGGGGGGGGAGGGGGGGCUUUCCAGUAGAAAGGGAGUUACUGGUGAGUCGAACAUCUUCCUGUCCUAUCUCCAAAUUCCAGCCACCCUGCGCCACAAACAAAUCUCCAUCCCCCUACUUGCACUGGGUGACUCAGGUGCUGAGGACAAUGUUCUGGAUCUGGAUUUAGAUUCCCAAUCUGGCCUCCCUCUGGAACCUCUGGACCACUCAAACACCCCCCCCACCCCAGGUUCUCUCGGGUAACCACCACGAGCAGGUAUUCCCUUGGUUUUGAUACACUCCUGGUUAACCAAACACAACCCCCAGAUAGACUGGUAAGCCAGAAGGGUUAGCUCUGGAGGGUUAACUGGAGCCCGUUCUGCCACUUCUCGUGUCUGAAAUCUGCCGUUCCAACCAUUACGUCCACUAAAGUACCUCCGACCCUACACCUUCCAGACCACUCAUCUGUGCCCUCCUGUGUAUCUUAACCUGAGAGAGGUCUUCCUCAAGGACCGGACCCUCUCACUAUCACCUCACCGCCCAUACGACUGCACCAUCGACCUUCUUCCUGGGGCCUCUCUGCCAUCCGGUCAACUGUACAAUCUGUCCCAUCCUGAGAGAGAGGCCAUGGAGAGAUACAUUCAUGAGGCACAAAACCCUCCAUCUUUGUACCGAUUACCAGGCCUUAACAACAUCACCAUUAAAAAUAAGUACCCGCUGCCACUCCUCAGCUCAACCACUGAGCCUCUGCAUGGAGCCACAGUGUACACCAAAUCGGACCUGUUUAAUGCAUACCGUCUGGUCAGGCUCAGAGAAUGGUACAAAUGGAAGACAUUUCUACCAUUGGGCCACUUUGAAUACUUGGUAAUGCCAUGUGACCUUAACAAUGCCCCAGCGGUCUUCUGAGCCUUAGUUAAUGACAUCCUCUGAGAUUUUACUGAACUGUUUUGUCUUCGUUUACCUGGCCGACAUGUGUUAAGCACAUCCUUCACGUCUGUCAGGUCCUUCAGAGACUGCUUGAGAACCACCUAUUUGCCAAAGCGGAGAAGUGCGGGUUCCAUGUGAACUUGGUCAGGUUCCUGGGGAUUGUCAUUAAGAAUGGCCAGGUGAGGACCGGUACAAAGAAGAUCCAGGCUGUCAUCGAGUAGCCAAGGCCUACCACCUAGAAGCAGCUUCAAUUAUUCCUGGGGUUUGCUAACUUUUAACGCUGAUUAAUUCAAGACUACAGCUGAGUCGCAGCGCCCCUCACUAGGCUCACCUCUACUUCUACUCCCUUUGUGUGGACCCCUGAGGCCGAGUAUACCGUCACCAAAAUUAUGGAACUGUUCACCUCAGCCCCCAUGUUGAUCCAGCCUAAUCAGUACCAACAAUUCAUUGUAGAGGUGGACACCUCUGACUCAGGUGUGGGUGCAGUGCCCUCCCAAUGAUCUGCCCCUGACCAGAAACUUCACCCCUGUGCCUUAUUCUCUCAUUAUCUCUCCACAGCAGAAUGCAACUAUGAUGUGAGGAAUCGUGAGUUGCUAACCAUGAAGUUAGCCUUGGGGGAGUGGAGGCACUGGCUUGAGGGGGCUGAGCAGCAUUUAUUGUAUGGACCAACCAUAAGAACUUGGCUUACAUCCAAACUGCCAAGCACCUCAACUCCCGUCAGGCAUGCUGGGACCUGCUCUUCGGGCAGUUCAACUUCAUGAUCACCUACUGUCCUGGUUCCAAGAAUGCUAAGCCCGAUGACCUCUCUCACCAGUUCACUUCAGAAGAAGAGGACACCUCUGACCCUGACACCAUCCUCUCUUUGGCCUGCAUAGUGAGGGCAGUCACAAAUGGAGAUUGAGUCCAUGGUCCGGAAAGCACAACUCACCCAACCCGACCCAGGUAAUGGGCCCCCUGGUUGCUUGUUCAUCCCCGGCAUGUUCCCAGGUCCUCCAGUGGGUUCCCUGUUCCUGGUUCACCUGCCACCCUGUUGAAAUAGAACUUCUGUUGGCAUACAAUGGACACUGACACCCGAGCCUUUGUCGCUGCCUGCACCAUACACUCCAGCUUCCUUCAAUAAAUCCUGUUUACCUUCA